GAUGAACGCUGGCGGCGUGCCUAAUACAUGCAAGUCGAGCGAACAGACGAGGAGCUUGCUCCUCUGACGUUAGCGGCGGACGGGUGAGUAACACGUGGAUAACCUACCUAUAAGACUGGGAUAACUUCGGGAAACCGGAGCUAAUACCGGAUAAUAUAUUGAACCGCAUGGUUCAAUAGUGAAAGACGGUUUUGCUGUCACUUAUAGAUGGAUCCGCGCCGCAUUAGCUAGUUGGUAAGGUAACGGCUUACCAAGGCAACGAUGCGUAGCCGACCUGUGAGGGGGAUCGGCCACACUGGAAGUGGGACACGGUCCAGACUCCUACGGGAGGCAGCAGUAGGGAAUGUUCCGCAAUGGGCGAAAGCCUGACGGAGCAACGCCGCGUGAGUGAUGAAGGUCUUCGGAUCGUAAAACUCUGUUAUUAGGGAAGAACAAAUGUGUAAGUAACUAUGCACGUCUUGACGGUACCUAAUCAGAAAGCCACGGCUAACUACGUG
rnacentral:rRNA from 1 species